UUGAACGCUGGCGGCAUGCCUUACACAUGCAAGUCGAACGGUAACGGGUUAAGCCGACGAGUGGCGAACGGGUGAGUAAUAUAUCGGAACGUGCCCAAUCGUGGGGGAUAACGCAGCGAAAGUUGUGCUAAUACCGCAUAAGAUCUACGGAUGAAAGCGGGGGAUCGCAAGACCUCGCGCGAGUGGAGCGGCCGAUAUCAGAUUAGCUAGUUGGUGGGGUAAAGGCCCACCAAGGCGACGAUCUGUAGCUGGUCUGAGAGGACGACCAGCCACACUGGGACUGAGACACGGCCCAGACUCCUACGGGAGGCAGCAGUGGGGAAUUUUGGACAAUGGGCGCAAGCCUGAUCCAGCAAUGCCGCGUGCAGGAUGAAGGCCUUCGGGUUGUAAAGCUCUUUCAGACGGAAAGAAAUCGGGCGCGUGAAUAGCGUGCCUGGAUGACGGUACUGUCAGAAGAAGCACCGGCUAACUACGU
rnacentral:rRNA from 1 species